rnacentral:rRNA from 1 species
CCUUGUACACACCGCCCGUCACACCAUGGGAGUGGGUUGUACCAGAAGUAGGUAGAAUAACCGCAAGGGGUUCGCUUACCACGGUAUGAUUCAUGACUGGGGGUG